UACGUAGGGACCAAGCGUUGUUCGGAUUUACUGGGCGUAAAGGGCGCGUAGGCGGCUUAACAAGUCACUUGUGAAAUCUCCGGGCUUAACUCGGAACGGCCAAGUGAAACUGUCAAGCUAGAGUGCAGAAGGGGCAUCGGAAUUCUUGGUGUAGCGGUGAAAUGCGUAGAUAUCAAGAGGAACACCUGAGGUGAAGACGGGUUGCUGGGCUGACACUGACGCUGAGGCGCGAAAGCCAGGGGAGCAAACGGG
rnacentral:rRNA from 1 species